rnacentral:rRNA from 1 species
UUAUGCCUACGGGGCGCAGCAGUGAGGGAUAUUGGUCAAUGGGGGAAACCCUGAACCAGCAACGCCGCGUGAGGGAAGACGGUUUUCGGAUUGUAAACCUCUGUCCUCUGUGAAGAUAAUGACGGUAGCAGAGGAGGAAGCUCCGGCUAACUACGUGCCAGCAGCCGCGGUAAUACGUAGGUGGCAAGCGUUAUCCGGAAUGAUUGGGCGUAAAGGGUGCGCAGGCGGAUGUAUAAGUCUGAAGUAAAAGCCAUCGGCUCAACCGAUGUAAGCUUUGGAAACUGUAGAUCUAGAGUGCAGGAGAG